AGCUCCAAUAGCGUAUAUUAAAGUUGUUGCAGUUAAAAAGCUCGUAGUUGGAUUUCGGGGUGGCACGGCCGGUCCGCCGCAAGGUGUGUCACUGGCCGGGCCGCCCUUCUUCGCAAAGACUGCGUGUGCUCUUAACUGAGUGUGCGCAGGACUUGCGACGUUUACUUUGAAAAAAUUAGAGUGUUCAAAGCAGGCCAGCGCUUGAAUACAUAAGCAUGGAAUAAUGGAAUAGGACUUGGGUUCUAUUUUGUUGGUUUCUGGAACCGAAGUAAUGAUUAAGAGGGACAGUUGGGGGCAUUCGUAUUUCGUUGUCAGAGGUGAAAUUCUUGGAUUUACGAAAGACGAACUACUGCGAAAGCAUUUGCCAAGAAUGUUUUCA
rnacentral:rRNA from 1 species